CGUCAGUCUUCGUCCAGGGGGCCGCCUUCGCCACCGGUAUUCCUCCAGAUCUCUACGCAUUUCACCGCUACACCUGGAAUUCUACCCCCCUCUACGAGACUCAAGCCUGCCAGUUUCGGAUGCAGUUCCCAGGUUGAGCCCGGGGAUUUCACAUCCGACUUGACAGACCGCCUGCGUGCGCUUUACGCCCAGUAAUUCCGAUUAACGCUUGCACCCUCCGUAUUACCGCGGCUGCUGGCACGGAGUUAGCCGGUGCUUCUUCUGCGGGUAACGUCAAUCGACGCGGUUAUUAACCNCAUCGCCUUCCUCCCCGCUGAAAGUACUUUACAACCCGAAGGCCUUCUUCAUACACGCGGCAUGGCUGCAUCAGGCUUGCGCCCAUUGUGCAAUAUUCCCCACUGCUGCCUCCCGUAGGAGUCUGGACCGUGUCUCAGUUCCAGUGUGGCUGGUCAUCCUCUCAGACCAGCUAGGGAUCGUCGCCUAGGUGAGCCGUUACCCCACCUACUAGCUAAUCCCAUCUGGGCACAUCUGAUGGCAAGAGGCCCGAAGGUCCCCCUCUUUGGUCUUGCGACGUUAUGCGGUAUUAGCUACCGUUUCCAGUAGUUAUCCCCCUCCAUCAGGCAGUUUCCCAGACAUUACUCACCCGUCCGCCACUCGUCAGCNAAGCAGCAAGCUGCUUCCUGUUACCGUUCGACUUGCAUGUGUUAGGCCUGCCGCCAGCGUUCAAU
rnacentral:rRNA from 1 species